AUACGGGGGGUGCAAGCGUUAAUCGGAAUUACUGGGCGUAAAGCGCACGCAGGUGGCUAGGUUAGUCGGAUGUGAAAGCCCUGGGCUUAACCUGGGAAUUGCAUUCGAUACUGCCUAGCUAGAGUAUGGGAGAGGGAAGUGGAAUUCCCGGUGUAGCGGUGAAAUGCGUAGAUAUCUGGAAGAACACCGGAAGCGAAGGCGGCUUUCUGGCCUGCCGCUGACGCUAAAGCGCGAAGGCUUGGGUAGCAAACAGGAUUAGAAACCCCGGUAGUCC
rnacentral:rRNA from 1 species